rnacentral:miRNA from 10 species
GUAAUGGAGUGGUGUGGCAUGGAGUGGAGUGGAGUGGCGUGGAGUGGAAUAGAAUGGAGUGGAAAGCAAUGGAAUGGAUUAGAGUCCUGGCGUACCCCCCACCACUCCCCCGCUCCUCAAAUCCCCGCCCUCCUACUGUACUCGACUCGGAUCCCCCCUCCUCCCCCCCCUCCUUCUCCCUUCC